GACGAACGCUGGCGGCGUGCUUAACACAUGCAAGUCGAACGGAAAGGCCCUGCUUUUGUGGGGUGCUCGAGUGGCGAACGGGUGAGUAACACGUGAGUAACCUGCCCUUGACUUUGGGAUAACUUCAGGAAACUGGGGCUAAUACCGGAUAGGAGCUCCUGCUGCAUGGUGGGGGUUGGAAAGUUUCGGCGGUCGGGGAUGGACUCGCGGCUUAUCAGCUUGUUGGUGGGGUAGUGGCUUACCAAGGCUUUGACGGGUAGCCGGCCUGAGAGGGUGACCGGCCACAUUGGGACUGAGAUACGGCCCAGACUCCUACGGGAGGCAGCAGUGGGGAAUAUUGCACAAUGGGCGGAAGCCUGAUGCAGCAACGCCGCGUGCGGGAUGACGGCCUUCGGGUUGUAAACCGCUUUCGCCUGUGACGAAGCGUGAGUGACGGUAAUGGGUAAAGGAGCACCGGCUAACUACGUG
rnacentral:rRNA from 1 species